rfam:Zea mays cultivar B73 chromosome 3, whole genome shotgun sequence.
ACAUCGACCUUUUGGCUAAGACAAAGUGCAGUAUUUGCAGUUUAAUAUCUGGUAUGUGAGCUAUAUGUUCACUACAAUUUUAAAUUUAUUUUCAGUGGGGAGUGUCCACUUUAACUUUAAAUUUAUUUUUUUGUGGGGAAGGUGCAUCACACUAGCUUGUCACUGGACACUUGGAUGUCGUACAACUGUUGCACUAUACCAU